rnacentral:rRNA from 1 species
ACGGGGGGGGCAAGCGUUGUUCGGAAUUACUGGGCGUAAAGGGCUCGUAGGCGGCCAACUAAGUCCGACGUGAAAUCCCCAGGCUUAACCUGGGAACUGCGUCGGAUACUGGAUGGCUUGAAUUCGGGAGAGGGAUGCAGAAUUCCAGGUGUAGCGGUGAAAUGCGUAGAUAUUUGGAGGAACACCGGUGGCGAAGGCGGCAUCCUGGACCACGACUGACGCUGAGUGAGCGAAAGCCAGGGGAGCAAACGGGA